CUUUAGUCCACAGCAGGUGCUGUCUGCCGGCCCUGGCUCCCGCUUUGGCACCGAGUCCCCCUGGAGGCGAGGCGGGUUCUGCUUGUGUCGCAGGUCUCACUGAGUUGCCCCAGCGGGGCUUGAUCCUCCUGCCUCAGCGUCCGGAGCGUGGGUUUUUUGGGUGUGCACCACCACGCCCUGCUCAGCACUGCGGGUUUGCAG
rnacentral:lncRNA from 1 species